AUGGCAGUGUUCGAUCAAUUCUAUCACCUGGCUGGUGGAGAUCUAGCUUCACUAAACAAGGCAAUGGUUGUGUUAUUACCCAAGAAAGACGGAGGUUUGCACAUCGCUGAUUUUAGACAUAUUAGCCUCAUCCAUUCGGCGGCAAAGCUGAUUUCUAAGAUUCUCUCCAUCAGACUAGCAGCUGUAAUCCACACCAUCAUCUCCCCGGUGCAGCCAGCUUUCCUCAAAACCAAGUGCAUCCAUGACAAUUACUUAUUCGUGCAGAAUAGUGUCAGGGCACUCCACCACCGCAAAACAUCAGCACUACUCAUGAAAUUAGAUAUAGCCAAGGCAUUUGACACCGUAUCAUGGGAGUACCUCCUCGAACUCCUUCAGAAACCGGGGUUCAGUGCCCGCUGGCGUGACUGGUUGGCCAUGCUUCUAACCACCUCAUCCUCCGCCGUCAUGCUCAAUGGCGUGGUCAGGGACAACAUUGCGCACCGACGUGGCUUACGGCAGGGAGACCCCCUGUCACCUUUUCUCUUCGUCCUAGCCGUCGACCCGUUGCACCACCUGAUCAUGGCAGCGGUAGAGCAGCAACUGUUGGAACCAAUUCCGUGCCAUGACCUAAAGCACCGCGUCAGCCUCUAG
rnacentral:rRNA from 1 species